rnacentral:rRNA from 1 species
AUGGCGAAAGACUCUUCUUGGGCGUACCUGCCAGAUGAUCUCCUGCUCCUGGUCCUCCGCCGCCUCACGUCCCUCGCGGACCGCGUCCGAGCAGGCGCCAUCUGCAGACCAUGGCGCUCCGCCGCCAGCCAGCUCCCGCCGAGGCGGCUCCCGUGGGUCAUGUUCGGCAACGGCACCCUCUUCGACCUGGCCAACGACAGCGCGCCGCACCCGCACCACCGCCUGCGUCUCCCCGACGAUUGCUGGCGCUCCAGCGCCGGCGAGAACAUGUUGUUCCUCGUGCACCAGCGCGACGGUAGCUGCUCCCUCUUGAACGCUCUCUCCGGCGCCACCACCCGUCUCCCCGAGCUAGCCGGCCUCCUGCGGACUUACGACGUCCGGCAUCGUCGACUGCGGAACGAGCUCAGCUGCAGCCCCCACAACCACAAUGAGCUCAGGCGCAUCCUCCGCUCCUGGCGGGGCCAAACCGAGCCCCCCAUGAAAGCUAUAGAGAAGGCGUGGUGGUGUCCUCCUCGGCGUUGGACGAUGAGCCCAUCGUUGUCGCCGUCCUGA